CUGAUUUCCAAAUGAAUUCACGUUUAUUGCAGAAAUUCUGUCAACUAUAGAAAAGCACACACACACAAAAUCAUCCAUUACCCGGUAUCCAGAGUUUUUUCUUCCUCUUCUUUUUAAGUUUUCUGUGAUAUGUUCGAAGAAAGCCAGAAAUGCUUGCGUCCAUGCCUACAGGUCACAGGCCAAUUAAACCAGAAACCGGAUCAUUCCACAGUCCAGAACGUGGAGAGACAAAGGUAUCAAGGAACCAGCUCUAGUUUCUGUUUCACUUCUUGACAUUCGAAAACAGUUAAUCACAUUCCUCUCUUGUCUACUGUGGGAGCGAAGAAAUAAAGCGAUUAGAUUGCCAGGUAUUCAAAGCAAGAAUGACGUGAAUCUGCAAGAGUCAGGAGGAAGCCAAGGCAGCUCCCUUGCGUCAGUUCAGAGAAGGUGAUUCCAGUGGCUGCUACUGAGAAGCAAAACCUUGCCUUCAGCACAGGCCUGGGCUAUUUUUAUGGAACUAGCAGCAUUUGACCUCGAGCUUCAGAGAUGGGUAGAAAUUGGAAGAUUUGAGAGGAGAGUAAAGAAGAUUGCAGAUGCUGGGACUUCUUAUCAUUAGGAGGAAGAGCUUGAGUUAAUACUUAUUGAGGAGCAUGACCACCUGACGGUAGUGAAGAGGAGAAGCAUUUUGCGUUCUUUGAGUGAAGUCACAGGAUGCAUCUGCCCAGGGAAUGUGCUGGGAACCAGCCUACCUUGAGAAGAGGUGCCAAAAGGAAAAAUGAGAAUAAAAGGUGUGGGCAUGUCAAGACCAUGUGAUGGGUUUCUCCAAAAGGUAAACAUAGAAUUGCCAUAUGAUCCAGCAAUUCCAGUUCUGGGUAUAGACUCCAAAGAAUUGAAGGCAGAGACUCAAACACAUCCCUGCGCACCAGUGUUCCUAGCAGCAUUAUUCACUAAAGGCAAAAAGUGGAAACAACUCAAAUGUCCAUAAACGGAAGAGUGCAUAAACAAAAUGUGGUUAUACAUACAGUGGAAUAUUAUCCAGCCUUAACAAAGAAGGAAAUUCGGAUAUAUGCUACAACAUGGAUGGAGCUUAAAAACAUUAUGCUAAGUGAAAUAAACCAGACACAAAAGAAAAAUAGUGUAUGAUUCCACUUAUAUGAGGUACCUAGAAUAGGCGAAUUCGUAGAGGCAGAAAGUAGAAUAGAGGUUAGCAGGGCCUGGGGGAGGGGAAGAUGAAGAGUUAUGGUUUGAUGGGUAGGGAAUUUCUGUUUGGGAAGAUGAAAAAAUUCUGAAAAUGGAUAGUGGUGAUGGUUGUACAAUAUUGUGAAUAUACUUAAUGCCACUGAGUCGUACACUUAAAAAUUGUUGAAAUGGUAAAUUUUGCGUUAUGUAUGUUUUACCACAAUUUUGUAAAAGUUACAUGUGAUGGAGGGUUAUUGAUGCUAGACUAGGGAGUCGGGGUUUGCCUACUAUCCCAAGACACAAGUCCUGAUGAGAAGGGAGGGCCAUCAAAAUGCUGUUCCAAGAAGACUGAUCAAUAGCAAUGAAGUAGAGAAGCUUGGACCAAUGCCAAGCACCGCCCCAGGGUGUGAACUUCAAACCAGUGAGGAUGUGGAAAUUCUAAGAGCCAGACAAAGGAAGAAUUCAGGGAAACUGUGAUUAUUGGAGGGAGAGAGAGAGGCAUUGGGAGAGCCAGACAAUUUUCGUGAUUUCAGCUUUUUUGCUCCUUACAAAAUAUUUGCUACAGUGGUUGAUUUCUAUUUUUUAACAAGCCAAGUAUUUCCUUCCUAAUAUUGCCUAAAUUUACCUUUCCAAUUGCUGCCAUAAAUAGAGCUCAUCAACCACAAAGUCUUCAGAAAAUCGUCAACCUCAGCCAACAAAUAGUACUCAACCCUAUGGAAAAAAGUGGGCAGUCAUGACUCAGGCAAAGCGACUCUGUUUUUCUGAAUGGAAAAAACAUUCCACGUUUUGAUCUUGACCAAGAACAUUACUGAAUGCAACUCUGAGGGGCUGGCCCCGUGGCCGAGUGGUUAAGUUCCCGCGCUCCGCUGCAGGUGGCCCAGUGUUUCGUUGGUUCGAAUCCUGGGCGUGGACAUGGCACUGCUCGUCAAACCACGCUGAGGCAGCAUCCCACAUACCACAACUAGAAGGACCCACAACGAAGAAUAUACAACCAUGUACGGGGGGGCUUUGGGGAGAAAAAGGAAAAAAAAAUAAAAUCUUUAAAAAAAAAAAAACCACCUUUUACAUCUUGGUGGAGGAGAUCACAAUAAAUAGAAUAAUAAAUAAACAAGAUAAUUAAUGACUGUGGUAACUACAAUGAAGGGAAAGAACAAGAGUGAGGAAGUCAAUAGAAACUGCAGAAGGCCACUUCAGAUAGGGUGUUCAAGGAUGUCCUUAGAAAGGGGUAACAUCUGAGCCUAAUCGUCCAGGAUGAGAAAGAGCCAACCAGCUUUCCCUUGGGGUGAGGGGGAGCAUCCUGGAGGAAUUCAAGUGCAAGGCCUGGGAGCACGUGUUCAAGAUAGAGAACAGAAGCUGGAGUGGCUGAAGUGGUGACUAUGAUAUUGGAUAGGUUUGCAGAGGCUGGCUCCAUGGCCUAGUGGUUAAGUUUGGUGUACUCCAUUUCUGCAACCCAGGUUCAAGGGUUUAGAUUCCAGGUGCAGACCUACACCACUCGUCAGCCUUGCUGUGGUGGUGACCCACAUAUAGAGUAGAGUAAGACUGGCACAGAUGUUAGCUCAGGGCUAAUCUUCCUCAAGCCAAAAAAAGAGGAAGAUUGGCAACAGAUGUUAGCUCAGGGCUAAUCUUCCUCACACAUACAAAAAAAGUUUGCAGAGCUGGCAGAAGCUAUAUCUUGCAGGACCUUGUAGACCAUGUAGAGGUGGUCAGAAGCCAUUGAAGAGUUUUAAGCAGGAGAAUAUGAUUUUAUUUACAUUUUUGAACAAUCACUCUGGCUGCUGUGAGGAGAAUGGAGGUAGAAGUGGAAGCAGAUUAGUGAGGAAGCUGCAAUGAUAAUCCAGAUAAGUGA
rnacentral:lncRNA from 1 species